rnacentral:rRNA from 1 species
UUUUACAAAAACAUGGCUCCUUGUCUUCUAGUAAAUAGGGAGUCGGACCUGCCCGGUGAAUUUUUAACGGCCGCGGUACUCUGACCGUGCAAAGGUAGCAUAAUAAUUUGCCUUAUAAUUGAAGGCUGGUAUGAAUGGUUUAACGAGAAUAAAGCUGUCUCUUUGCAACUUAAUAGAAUUUUAUUUAUGGAUGAAAAAGUCCGUAUAACAUUAAUAGACAAGAAGACCCUAUCGAGCUUGAAAAAAAUUAGUAGAAUAAAAAUAAAAUUAGACUAAAAAAUUCUCUACUAAAAAUUUUAGUUGGGGCGACUAAGGAACAAAUAAAGCUUCCUUAAAACCAUUUUUGCCUAUUAGCUUUGAUCCAGAGUUUCUGAUUAAUAAAAUUAGUUACCGUAGGGAUAACAGCAUUAUCUUUUUUGAGAGCUCAUAUCGAAAAAAAGGUUUGUGACCUCGAUGUUGGACCAGAAUUUCCUAAAGAUGCAGCAGUCUUUAAGGGUUGGUCUGUUCGACCAUUAAUAUUCUACAUGAUCUGAGUUCA